UUAUGCACCUCAUCCUACACUAACUUCCCUGUUAAUCUCCCCUCUACUGCUGACAAGGUGUGGCGUAUCACUCUAACCAGGACUGCAGGUGUUAGACUAGUGAUACACUGUAACGAGGUGGAGGUGCUCAGCAUACUGCUCUCUCAAUCAACGUGUGAUGACAGUAGGUGGAGCACGUACUGGAACAGGGACGUAGCAAAGAUAAUGUUCAGGCCCCGCGACACAGCAUCUGAUUACUACGGAACACAACCAGAGCCGUGUGGAGAAGGAACAUAUCGGAAUGAUGCUAUGACAAGCUGUGAGACAUGUGACGCUGGAUUGACACCAAACUCUGAUAAAACAGCCUGUGAGCCAUGUCCAGCUGGAAGCUACAAGAACAUUGACAUGAACACAUGUAACGAAUGUCCUGAUA